rnacentral:lncRNA from 1 species
GAAAGUUUUAAGUAAGGCAUGGUUAUAGGGAGAUGAAGACCAUAAAAGACAUGAAGGAGGGCAUGCAAGAAAUAAAAGUUUUAUUGGUCUUCUCUACUAUCUGAAUUCCAAAGAAUUGCAUAAACACAGAGAAUUGAAAUCUCCAACUGUGAUAUGGAUUCUUUAACCAUGGAUAGGACAAACGAUUUGAGCACACCUAUUUUAUUGAAAUCAGGGGAUUCCAAAACUUAAUUGAAGUGAAAGCAAGAGAGGUGAAAGACAGUGCAGGGACUUCAAUUCCAAAGUAUACCAAAUGUAGUGAGCAUUCAUAUAGAAGAUUUGAUGGUUCUAUCAUGUUUACUUGAGUCACUUGAGUCAAUUGUUUGAACCGAAAGAGUAGAAAUUUUCAUUGUUAACAAAAGAUGUUCACAUUAAUUUCUUAGACACCAUGUACAUAAUAUCAUAAAUGUUUGAAUUUUUCUGUCACUUUCAUAUUGUUUUUCAGCAUUUUUAGCACCUAUAUCCAUACUGAAAAUCUGUUGCUACACAAGAAACCAUGAACUAGCUAGUUAUUUAUAUAUGGUGCUAAUUAUAAUUGACUGUGGAGUUGGUGGAAGGGGA